CAAGAAAUAGUUUAUUAAAAUAUUAAUUUUGGAGAUUAAAGUUAGAGAAGUUUCUUUUUUCUUGA
rnacentral:tRNA from 1 species